AUACGUAGGGUGCGAGCGUUGUCCGGAAUUACUGGGCGUAAAGAGCUCGUAGGUGGUUUGUCGCGUCGUCUGUGAAAUUCCGGGGCUUAACUCCGGGCGUGCAGGCGAUACGGGCAUAACUUGAGUACUGUAGGGGAGACUGGAAUUCCUGGUGUAGCGGUGAAAUGCGCAGAUAUCAGGAGGAACACCGGUGGCGAAGGCGGGUCUCUGGGCAGUAACUGACGCUGAGGAGCGAAAGCAUGGGUAGCGAACAGGAUUAGAUCCCCUGGUAGUCCAUGCCGUAAACGGUGGGCGCUAGGUGUAGGGGUCUUCCACGACUUCUGUGCCGUAGCUAACGCAUUAAGCGCCCCGCCUGGGGAGUACGGCCGCAAGGCUAAAACUCAAAUGAAUUGGCGGGG
rnacentral:rRNA from 1 species